rnacentral:rRNA from 1 species
ACUCCUACGGGAGGCAGCAGUGAGGAAUAUUGGACAAUGGGCGCAAGCCUGAUCCAGCCAUGCCGCGUGCAUGAUGAAGCAUCUAUGGUGUGUAAACUGCUUUUGUACAGGAAGAAACCCUCCCACGUGUGGGAGAUUGACGGUACUGUAAGAAUAAGGAUCGGCUAACUCCGUGCCAGCAGCCGCGGUAAUA